GAUGAACGCUGGCGGCGUGCUUAACACAUGCAAGUCGAACGGACUUUACAUGAAGCCUAGCGAUUGUAAAGUUAGUGGCGGACGGGUGAGUAACGCGUGAAUAACCUGCCUUAUACUGGGGGACAACAGUUGGAAACGACUGCUAAUACCGCAUAAGCGCACUAAAGCUGCAUGGCCCAGUGUGAAAAACUCCGGUGGUAUAAGAUGGAUUCGCGUCUGAUUAGCUAGUUGGUGAGGUAACGGCUCACCAAGGCGACGAUCAGUAGCCGGCCUGAGAGGGUGAACGGCCACAUUGGGACUGAGACACGGCCCAA
rnacentral:rRNA from 1 species